GUGCGUAUGGGCAUGUCGGAUCCCUGCUCGGGCAGCGACGGCAUUCGUUCGUGCCUCUUCAUUUUUCGGUUCAAGUGUGCUGCUCACCUUGAUCGAAGUCGGUUUCCUGUGUUGCAUACCAGUUGUGGAGGUAAUUGACCGGUUAAAUGUAUUUUCGUCCCGCGUCCGCCUUUCCAAGGUUGGUGCGUGGGGUGGACAAAGAAGAUCCGUCGUGUUCCACGCCCCAGACAUCAGUGUGUGCUUGGGUUGUUGGUGCACGGCGGCAUGCUCGUGCUUUUGGAUGCGGAAAAUUGAGCGGGUACGAGGCAUUUGUCCUCUUAUAUACCCCGAAGAAAUGCGUUUCACGCUCUCAGCGAAGACGG
rnacentral:misc_RNA from 1 species